rnacentral:rRNA from 1 species
GACGAACCGUGCGAACGUUGUUCGGAAUCACUGGGCUUAAAGGGCGCGUAGGCGGGUUCGAAAGUCUGUGGUGAAAGCCUCCAGCUUAACUGGAGAAGUGCCAUGGAUACUGCGAACCUGGAGGAGGGUAGGGGCAUCUGGAACGCUGGGUGGAGCGGUGAAAUGCGUUGAUAUCCAGCGGAACUCCGGUGGCGAAGGCGAGGUGCUGGACCCUCUCUGACGCUGAGGCGCGAAAGCCAGGGGAGCAAACGGG